rnacentral:lncRNA from 1 species
UUGGCACGGCGAUCGCCAUAGGGAUGCAUGCGAAGAAAUUCGGCUGGUACAUCCCGAAGAUUGAGAGGCCAGAGACGUUGACCGGUGCCGAUUUGUGCUGACAGCUGAAGCGAACUAGUGUUGCUCAUUCCAAAUUGCUAACAGCGUUCGUCAGGUGUUGAUUAGACAAGGAACUAGUGUUGUCUGUUUCAUCAUCCUGUAUGUUAGCAAAAACAGGUACAGGUGUGAGUAUUAGCUGCUAGAAAAAAAAACUCCAAGAAGAAACAUGCUGUACAUC